AAUGUUUUCAUUUUUUCAAAAAGUAUUGGUAAAUGAAGAAGUUAGAUCAUGAAUGGUAGCAUUAGGUUAGAGUUUUAAUUUGUUAUGAAAUAUGAAGGUUAUUUAUCUCUUCCUCUACCAUUUUAUUAAGAAAUCAUAUUAGAAGCAUAUGAGCAGGUUACCCUUUGCACAGUGCUCUAGAUUGUUGUAUAGAUAAGUUGAGGACACUUCCAUUUUUCACUUUCCUUUAUUAGGAUAUCAUCCUUUGGGUGCUUUCCAGUCUACCAGUGAAUGACAAACACUGCUAUAUCGAGAGUGUGAGAAAUUGAAUACCAUACAAGUUGUCAGACAUCUAAGACAGAAGAUCCCUGCAAGCAAUGAGGAGAGAUUGGAUACAUUCAUUGGAAUUACAGUCGUGACAAGCAAUAGGGCUACCACUGAAGACAACCUUUGUCUUCUUGUUAGUGAAAAACAAAAAAGGAGGGAAGAGAAUGGAGGUUGUGAUGUGAUAAGAAGGCAACGAAGAGCUGGAAGCAAACACCAACAACAGAUAAACGACAUGAUUCAAAAACAAAGGGUUUAAAGACACCAGAGUUGUGAUACCAGAUGCUAAGAUACAGAGAGGACAGACAGCUCCUAGCACGUAAUAGGUAAGUUUGUUUCCACCUAUUUAGUGGUUCUUGGUCUUUAUUCCAUUUCAGAUUCAGAUCUGCACUGCUUACUCAAUAGCCAGUUCCCAGGUAUUUUUAAAUUCUUGCUGCUUCCUCACCAGUGUUUUGUUUUGUUUUGUUUUGUUUUGUAAAUGUGUUCCAGUUACUUUCCACUCCUUUUCCAACUGAUGGGAUAAUGUACUUAUGCAUUCAGAAAUCUAUAGUUGCUUUCUCUUACGAUGAUUACACAUGUAAACUUGCUGACCUAAGAGGGGGAGUGGGUGAUGAGAUUUAACAACAGACGAGUUGCUACAAUAUGCAAAUCUCUAUGAUUGGCAGUUUGCUGUGACUACUGAGACUCCCGCCUUUUUUAAUAGUCUUGCCUCCUUAAGGGAUCCUAACAGUACAAUGAGAUGAAAAUAUUUAAU
rnacentral:lncRNA from 1 species